rnacentral:ncRNA from 15 species
UAUCUUGUGCGCGCCGAAGGUAUUCAUCGCUUCAUUCGGAUGAAGGGAUGAAAUUAAACGGGAAUCCGGUGAAGCGCGCCCGCAAGGCCCGCCAUUCCGGAGCUGCCCCGCAGCGGUGAAUGGAAACGACCGCCGUCAAAUCAGCACUGGGCCGCCGUGCCCGGGAAGCGACGGCCACUAGGCGGACGCAGCCGCGUCCACGUCCAUCAGCCCGAAUACCGGCCUGGGCCGGGAGGCGCGUC